GUGAGGAAUAUUGCGCAAUGGAGGCAACUCUGACGCAGCCAUGCCGCGUGCAGGAAGAAGGCGCUACGCGUUGUAAACUGCUUUUAACCGGGAAGAAACCCCAGGACGUGUCCUGGGUUGACGGUACCGGAGGAAUAAGCACCGGCUAACUUCGUGCCAGCAGCCGCGGUAAUACGAAGGGUGCAAGCGUUAUCCGGAUGCAUUGGGUGUAAAGGGUGCGUAGGCGGAGCGUUAAGUCAGUGGUGACAUCCUGCAGCUUAACUGUAGACUUGCCAUUGAUACUGGCGCUCUUGAGUGCGCUUGAAGUGGGCGGAAUGUGCCGUGUAGCGGUGAAAUGCUUAGAUAUGGCACAGAACACCAAUUGCGAAGGCAGCUCACUAAGGCGAUACUGACGCUGAGGCACGAAAGCGUGGGGAUCGAACAGGAUUAGAUACCCUGGUAGUCC
rnacentral:rRNA from 1 species